AAAAUUUUAUUGAAAUCAGCGACACUUCAUGUUCAAUCCAAACAGAAAGAGAAGGCGAAUGAAUCUCCCAGAUAAAGAACUCGAUUCUAAUCAUUCCGUGCAUCAGUAUCAAGCAUCACCAUCUGCAUCAAACUUGUCGCCAGCACAGAAUCAUCACCAUGAUCUGUCACUAGAAGUGACAAGAUAUUCUGAAGAACAAGCAUGUAGCCUAUAUUAUCAGACACUUUG
rnacentral:lncRNA from 1 species